AUGUCAUCUGUGAUCUGUCAAGAAGUAACGCGCCUCGCUGCUGGUUGCACAGCAAUGGGCUACGUAUAUAUCUAUGAUGAUGUACACAAGAAACACACACACACACACACACACACACACACACACAGAGAGAGAGAGAGAGAGAGAGAGAGAGCAGGGUUAGAUGCUAAUCUUGUUGAUCGACUCCAGGGAGAAGAUGGCGGCGGGGCGGGUGACCGGCACGGUGGGAUGCGACGACAUCGGGGGCAGGAGGCACACCAGGUACACCGCGACACCAGAUUCCGCCGCAGGAAGAUGUGGCCGGCCAAGAAGAUGGAAUCGAGCUGCCGUAUCGGGGAUCCCAGGUGCUGCUGCCCCGUCUGUAUCCUGUCGUGCAGCCAUGGCGAAGAGUAUGGUGGAUAUGAUUCUUGUCGAGUAAAUUUCACAGAACCAUCACAUUCGUGUCAUGAUUAG
rnacentral:rRNA from 1 species